CCUACGGGAGGCAGCAGUGGGGAAUAUUGGACAAUGGGCGAAAGCCUGAUCCAGCCAUGCCGCGUGUGUGAAGAAGGUCUUCGGAUUGUAAAGCACUUUAAGUUGGGAGGAAGGGCAUUAACCUAAUACGUUAGUGUUUUGACGUUACCGACAGAAUAAGCACCGGCUAACUCUGUGCCAGCAGCCGCGGUAAUACAGAGGGUGCAAGCGUUAAUCGGAAUUACUGGGCGUAAAGCGCGCGUAGGUGGUUUGUUAAGUUGGAUGUGAAAUCCCCGGGCUCAACCUGGGAACUGCAUUCAAAACUGACAAGCUAGAGUAUGGUAGAGGGUGGUGGAAUUUCCUGUGUAGCGGUUGAAAUGCGUAGAUAUAGGAAGGAACACCAGUGGCGAAGGCGACCACCUGGACUGAUACUGACACUGAGGUGCGAAAGCGUUGGGGAAGCAAAACGAGGUAUUAGACUACCCGUGGUAGUCCGACGACCGUAACGUACGUAGUACACUACGACGUUACGGGUAGGACCGUUCGUAGCGUCUUACGUGGUCGCG
rnacentral:rRNA from 1 species